rnacentral:misc_RNA from 1 species
AAGUCGUAACAAGGUUACCGUAGGUGAACCUGCGGUAGGAUCAUUAAAGAGAUAGGGUUCUAACGAGCCCGACCUCCAACCCUUUGUUUACCAAACCUCUGUUGCCUCGGCGGGUCGCCGGCGCCUUUAACUAGGUGCCGCCGUCGGCCUCCGCGCUUUCGAGUGCCCGCCGUAGGACCUUAGAAACUCUUUAUAAACGAGUAUAAUCUGAGUGGAUAUUUAAUCUUCAAUUAAAACUUUCAACAACGGAUCUCUUGGUUCUG